CACAGGAAGGGGUCAUGUGAGCACACCACGGCGAGAUGGUGGCAGCAUACAAGCACAGAGGAGGGGCCUCAGAAUGAAACCUACCUGCUGGCACCUUGAACUUGGACUCCUCAGCCCCCAGAACCGGUCUUAGUUGUGCCACGUGGGAUCUUCAUUGCGGCAUGCAGGGUCUUUCACGGUGGUACUCUUCGUUAUGGCGUGCGGACUUCUCUCGAGUUGUGGCGCACUGGCUUUCGAGCGCACGGGCUCAGUAGUUGUGGUGUGGGCUUAGUUGUCCCGCGGUAUGUGGGAUCUUAGUUCCCCAACCAGGGAUCGAACCUGCGUCCCCUGCAUUGGAAGGCGGAUUCUUAACCACUGGACCACCAGGGAAGUCCCUGUUUUGUUUUGUUUUAAUUUUUUCCUUUUUCUUUUCUUUUUUUUUUUUUUUAUGAUCCCCAGCAUGUGGGAUCAUAGUUCCCUGACCAGAGGUUGAACCUGCAACCCCUGCAUUGGGAGCAAAGAGUCUUAAUAAACUGGACUGCCAAGGAA